rnacentral:rRNA from 1 species
CCUAUCGUGAUAGAACCCUUGCCUUUUGAGUACCGUCCGUUUCCUCGGCAGGCUCGCCUGCCAAUGGGGACCCCAAUAAACCCUUUUUAUGUACCUGUAUCAGUCUGAAAAACAAACAAAAGUUAAAACUUUCAACAACGGAUCUCUUGGUUCUGGCAUCGAUGAAGAACGCAGCGAAAUGCGAUAAGUAGUGUGAAUUGCAGAAUUCAGUGAAUCAUCGAAUCUUUGAACGCACAUUGCGCCCUUUGGUAUUCCUUAGGGCAUGCCUGUUCGAGCGUCAUUUGAAACCUCAAGCUCAGCUUGGUGUUGGGUGUCUGUCCCCGCCUCACCGCGGGGACUCGCCUCAAAAUCAUUGGCGGCCGGUACGUUGGCUUCGAGCGCAGCAGAAACGCGAACUCGAGGCCCGGCGGAUCGGCGACCAGAAGUCACUUCUUCACAGUUUGACCUCGGAUCAGGUAGGGAUACCCGCUGAACUUAAGCAUAUCAAUAAGCGGAGGAA